UACAGAGGUCUCAAGCGUUGUUCGGAUUCAUUGGGCGUAAAGGGUGCGUAGGCGGCGCGGUAAGUCGGGUGUGAAAUCUCGGAGCUUAACUCCGAAACUGCAUUCGAUACUGCCGUGCUUGAGGACUGGAGAGGAGACUGGAAUUUACGGUGUAGCGGUGAAAUGCGUAGAUAUCGUAAGGAAGACCAGUGGCGAAGGCGGGUCUCUGGACAGUUACUGACGCUGAGGCACGAAGGUCAGGGGAGCAAACGGG
rnacentral:rRNA from 1 species